rnacentral:rRNA from 1 species
UACGUAGGGGGCAAGCGUUGUCCGGAUUCAUUGGGCGUAAAGAGCGUGUAGGCGGCCAGGUAGGUCGGUUGUGAAAACUGGAGGCUCAACCUUCAGACGUCGACCGAAACCAUCUGGCUAGAGUCCGGGAGAGGAGAGUGGAAUUCCUGGUGUAGCGGUGAAAUGCGCAGAUAUCAGGAGGAACACCUAUUGCGAAGGCAGCUCGCUGGGACGUAACUGACGCUGAGACGCGAAAGCGUGGGGAGCAAACAGG